CUCAGUCACUGCACACACAUGGUGCACAGACAUGUAUGCAGGCGAAACACCCAUACACAUAAAACAAAAAUGAAUCUCAAAAAAGAGCUUAGGUGAUUUCCUUGAUGCAAAACUCAAAACAGACUCCAGAAAGAAAGCAAUAGUGCUUAGGAAGAUUUCAUAACCCAUUUUCUCAUUUGGAAACAAAUAGUAUAUGUGGUGAAGCCUGUGCAGUGGAUAGCAAAUGGACAGCAAAUUCAAGUGUUUACAUGUGUACUAGCAUUGACUGAACGAUUCUUUUUCUAUACAUUUCAGGAUUUGUUUUUUACUUUAGGUUUUGCAGUUGAGAAUAUCCUUUAUGACAGAAAUCCUAUGCAGCACAUGUAUGGCUUUGGAUGAGACCAAGGAGCUCAAUAUCCGUGAUGUAAAUUAAAUGAUAAUCAUGAUUCAGUAUUCAAUUACAAAAAUACAAUUUAUAUGCAAAGAGCAGUUGGGGGAGGGACAAAAUGAGAGUCAGCUUCUAAGGUGUGUGUGGUUCAUAUUGGAAUGCACCCACAGAGCCACAGGAGAGGGAGAGGCUGUUUCCAGGUACAGAAUGAGCAUAGUGAGCAGGUGUGAUUCUGGAAACCAUAUGCCACAUCUUUCUAGUGCCAAACUUUGUCCAAUCACAGAACUGAUAUGGAAUCCCCAAAAGCAGAGAAUAAGUGGUAUCCCAAAGCAGACAAGAGAAGAAUGAUCAGGUUGUCCACUGUGUACAGACUUACCUUCUCCCAUCCAAGGUCAAAGUGAUGUGUCUCCUAGAGACUUUGGGACACCUUUUAACAAGAGGGAGCAUACAGAUGCAAUGUGUAUGCUCCAAGGAAACUGCCUGGACUGCUUGAGGGCUUACCACUCCAUCAGCUAAGAUUUGUAUUCAAAUCAUCUGUAAAGUCACGCUCUUUCAACAAGCUUCUGAGUUUUAAAUACCUCCGUACAGCAAGUAAACAUUCCCGCUUUCUGUUCUCAGUGUCCUUGGUCAUGGUGCUUUUUGUUGCAUUAAAAGUGCCAGUCAAACUUUGAUAGUAUUUUUUUAUAGUUGGUGCAGAGUGGAAUAACUCAUGGAUUAUUUCAAUAUUUUUGUAAUAAAAAUAUAGGGUGUACAUAUAGGCAUUGUUGCUUUUUUUUAUAGACUUGGAAUUGUUUAAAAUACAUUAAAUGUCAUAUUCACUUGGGAUAUCAGAAUCCAGUCUACAAAUCCAUCAGCCUGCCUCAGCAGAUUGAAAACACUUGUCCCUGGAGAGAUUACCUUACUUUUUGCCAUUUGGCGGCCCAGCAACCUGACCAGGGUGCUAUCAGAGCAUCAAGUAAAGAGGGAAGUGGCCUAACUAGAAAGGGCUUGUGAAGACUGAUCAAUGUCUCCCAGGAAAUCCAAGAUGUGAGUGAUUUCUUUCAUCUAUCCAUUAGAACAACCUGACCACAGUGUAAGAUGUCUUAAACUUCCUUCCCUUGUUUUAUACUAACCCAGCUGAUAUAUUAAAGACCAGUCAAGUCACAAAAAAAGAGAAGGAAGAAAGUCAGUUUCAUUUAAAUAUUCACUCAAAAUAGUCAAGUUCUAGAGCCACCACCCAUAAUGGAUGCGUCAUCCAAAGACUGUGGUCCCCAAAGUGACAUCCACAGGAGGGGACAGAGGGCUCAACCUAGGACUUCUUUUGGUACAAAGCCCCAAAGCAAUUUUUUAAGACAGACGAUUUUUAUCAGACAUAUUUCCUAAUACUCAAUGAUUUGAUCCUUCAAGCAAGAUUUCCACUACAAUACACUAAUCUUCUGUUGGAAUGAAGAAAUACUACCUUGCUGCCAGUAAAGCUUCAGGAAGACUCGGCUUCUCAGCAAAUGGUGAAUGCAUCCCAUUCCAGUAUAGAAGGAAAUCACAAUUUGGACAGAUACUUUGCUGGUAUGCAGAACCAUGAGCUAUUAACUUCACUAGUUCUAAGACAACUUUUAACUGAUGAGCUUUGGAAACUGACUUUCCCAGGUGGUCUGCAGCUCUGAUUCUGUGAGUGAAUAACAGUUAACCUUGUAAUAGUGUCCAAUCAAACAAGCCAAAAGGAGCAUCCACUCUUUGAUCACAUUUCCUUGCUGUUUGAUUCCCAUGUCAGAUAGAGUAUCAUUAUUAAGAAUGUACAAUAUGCUAGUGCUGUGCUGAAGACCUUUACCUCUGGGAUUCCAUUUACUCCUCACAACCACCGGUGAGUGACAUCAUUUUCAGAUGCUACAGCUUCAGCCCAGAGAUGAAACACCUUGGAACCUGUCAAGUUUUACUGGAGAUGAAUUGCAGUUUAUUAAUCCAACAGACACUUUAAUCUUGCAAAUUCUUGACUUGUAAUAUUAUAAUCAAGCUGCUGGAAGAGAACAUGAAUCAGUUAAUGGAAAAGGAGCACUUGGCUCAGUACUGUGCCCUGAUGUGUCCAAGCUUGAAGAGACAGGCCUCUGAGAAGUAGAGCUAAGGAAAUUGUUCUACCUGGUCCCUCAACAUGAAUGCCAUCAGUGUCCAUGGUAUCCAUCCUCUUUCUUUAUCUUUUCUAGUAAGAACUGCUUUUAGAAAAUUAGCCAAUGAAUUCCUGGGGGCUUGUAUAGCUCAGAGAAAUGGGUAUGGGUCAAAGGGACUUACUUCAAGUGGAUUGAAACCCACUUGUUUGGAAAUGAAAAGAGUCUGUCAUCUUUUAAUAACUGAUCUAUCUUGAGUAUCAUCACUGCUUUUAAUUUAUCCCAUUGUCAGCAUGAUAAUAGCCAAUGUGUAAAACUUCCAUUGAUAAUUCAGUUUCAAAGGUGUAGUUAGAGUGAUUUGAUGCCUGCUUUCCUAAGUGGUAACACUACCAGUCUCAAACCAAUAUCCAUUUCAACAAGGAACCAACUAGCCUAUGGCUUCUCAGAUCACAUCAAAUCUUGGUUAUGACCUUAAAGAUGACCAACUAAAUGGCCUUAAUGCCUACAUUUUCAUUUAUAAGAAAACAGGUGGACUGAGAAAUUACAACCAUGAUUCCUUCCCUUUCUUUUUUUCAAAUAAAGGUGGAAAUUAAGUUGUCAGAGUUCAGAUAUAGUUAUAGAGUAUUCAAGAGUCUGAUGUGCGUGUGGCCUUGUUAAACUUUCUAUCUACUCUUUUGGCAUCCAUUUUAGAAGUUAGAUCUAAAUAAAAGGGUGAAAGUCAUCAAGUAUAUCCAAUAAGCACUCUGGAAAAAGACGGAGAAAGAGGAGGAGGAGAACAAGAAGAAGGAGGAGGAGGAGGAGAAGGAGAAGGAGAAAUUGCUGUGUCUCCACACAAGCAUCUCAGUGACUCUAUCAGGAUGUUCCCAGAGCUUCUGAGUACACUCCUGGGAAUCCAUGCUGGUACCCACGCAAGUCUUUUUCUAGAGCGAUCUCUGGGUGUAACCACUAAAUCUGAAUGACAGUCAGAAAGGUAUUCUCCUACCCUGUGACUUACCCUCACCUGUCAGACAACCAGAACUAACAAGCUGAAAAAUCCUCAUUUCCUGAACCUACACCCUCCUGUGUAAUGUACAAUGAGUUGGUUAACUGUAGGGACACAGGAACAAUAACAGUCCUCUCUAACAAGGCUCGGGAGUAAGUGUGACCAUAAGAGUGUUGAGUACUAGGACAGAAGAUUUCUACCAAUGGAGAAGCCCAAGAAUACCUGUCCAUCACUUGUCAGGAACACUUCUCUUUUUACAAGGUAGGCACAUGAACUAAUCUCUGCCAUUCUGUAACUAUGGCAAUGCCCAUGUCCCCUUAUGAAAGGGCAAGACCUGGCUAAUGUGGAGAGGUGGAGGUCAUGCAGGAAGCGUCAUGCCAAGACUGGCUCUUUCUAAGGAAACCUGCCCUCUGAUGGUUCUCCUUGAUUAGUGGUCUUGUAAUGCUCUGUACAUCAAGAGCUUCAGGUGGAUUAUAAAUCACUCUGACUUAUUAAACAUAAACUAUCUAAUUAUCUCUCUUUUAAUAACAAUGAGAUUCAGGGUUACCAUGGCCUUACUCAUCAUCCCAUUGUAAAUAUAUCAACCACAACAGGUCUGUGUUCAAACACACUCAACCCAGUUUAACUAGUAUCAUCUUUCUUGCAACACAGUUUGGAUCUUGAGUCUAUCAGUCAGUCACCUACCUUCUCCAUGUACCUAUUCAGAGACUCAUAAGUCCUGUGCAAGUGAUUUUCCAGAACAAUAGAAGAAAAUAAAAGGACGGUCAUGCAAUUUUCCCACCAACACAAAAAACAUUAGACUGUUGAUCACCCCAAAGUUCUGACUUUUCCUCAUGACUGAGUUUCUUUUUAUUUGCUGGCUUUCAACAUUUGAAUUUUCCAGAUGACUGCUGAACAAAUUUCACCAAAUCAAAGUAGAUAUUGCAGCAUUAUUAAAAAGUAGAGACUAUCCACAUGAAUGCAAAUAUCCCAUGAAAAAUCAAGAAGUUGGUCACUUAAGCAGCACACAUCUGGAAACUCUCUGCAAGAGUCCAGGUGUUUGGAGUAUACAGUUUUCCAUCCUGUUGUCUGGUGUAUAGAUAGACAAAUUGCUCAGGUGCUGCAGGUGGAACUUAACUUUCUUGUGCAGCAAUCUUUUGUUGGUGACAUUCUGCUGCUAACAAUUCUCUUUGUUGUACAAAGAGAAAUAAAUCAUGCAGAGCAACUUUGGUCUAUUUUUAUUUACUUUCUGAAAAUGCAUGACUGGAAGAGUUUGGUUGGCUGUGUCUCGGGUAUUCUAAACAUAAUUGCAUGGGGACCACCUUAAAGUGGCAGUUCUUAGAGGCCUUUCUAUAGGAAAGGAAACUUCUUCUUUUAGCCUCUUCUAUGUUUCAUAAUUUUAUUAUUGUUAUUCUACUAUUUGUAAAUGGUUUAAGGGAAAUACAAAAUCUUCAACUUUUUAUUGUUCAGAUAGAACUUUUCAUUUUAAGUGUCCCUUAUUAUAUCUUAAAGCUAAAAUUAUAUAAAUUGUUUGAUACAAUUACUUCAAGGUGAAUUUUAUGGCUGCAAUUGGAGGAAAAAGUCUAUUUCCCCAAAUCAAAUUACCUAACGUUAGGAUUUGGUUUGCUAACAUCAUUCCAGUUAACAAGUGCUUGCUGGUUACUGUGAAUAUUGUAACGUAUUUCCCCAGUUAAUCCCUGCCACUUUUCUCCAUGAGGGGAAAAAAGAAAUGUUGAUCAUGACGGAAAUUUACCUUCCAAAAGGAGGGCUGAUGUUCACACUGACCCAGAUUUGUUUUGUCCUGGUAACCUUGGGAAGUUGGACUUGCUCCUUCUGAUCUACUGGGUGGUAUAGAUGUCCUCAAGUUGAGUGUUUUUGCCUUAUUGACUGAUCUGAAGUUUGGCAGAAAAUCACAUAAGCCGUCCAACCUAUUUCCUUUUAAGAGCACUUUAGUGGCAUAACUUGCUCUGAGGCACUUAUUGUAGGUGAACAAAGAUCUUGGAGAGGCCUUCAGCUAUGUAAACAUCUUGAGGGAUUUCCAAAGACAGUGCAAAUAUUCCCAAGUACCUAGGUAGUAUCUUGAUUGUAUAAAAUUCUACAUUCAGAGCCAAUAAUAACAUCAUGAGGCAGAUGAUGAAAUUCCUCUUGAGUUUCUCCUUUCCUGGAUGUAGUUUCCCUGAACACCUAAACCUCACCACCAAGCAAUGUUUGUCCACCCCCAUGCUAACUAAAUUGGACCCUACCCUGAACACAGCUGUGGCCACAGCCCAGGUGCUCAUGACCCUCUAAACACUGAUGACAAGCGCACUGAAAGUUUUGGCUUUUCCUUUUUCCUUUGGAUUUUAAAUCAUCAAUCUCUGCACCUGUGUGUUACUGAGGGAAUGUUUGGCUGUUAUUACAAGACGGUGACAAUGGAUUGGCAGUCACACACAAAAAAAGCUGUUUCUUUUAUGGUCUUUGAUUAUUAGGUGAUUGAUGUGAAAUAUACAGAUUAAUAGAAAAGCAGAAAUCCCUGUGUUGAAUAUUAUGGCUGUUUUAAACAUGUUUAAAGAUAUUAUAUGAAACAAUAUUUUUUUGAGACAGGGUUUCUCUGUGUAGUUUUGGUGCCUAUCCUGGAUCUCACUCUGUAGACCAGGCUGGCCUCGGAACUCACAGAAAUCCGCCUGGCUCUGCCUCCCAAGUGCUAGGAUUAAAGGUGUGUGCCACCAUGGCCUGGCCAAAACAAUAUUCUUUUGCACUAUGGAAUAUAGUCCCUUCUGGGUACAGUGGCAAGAAGGCAUGUGGUCCAGUGACAUAGGUAAAUAAACUAGCAAUCUGUACACAUCUGGGUCCUGAUCCCUCCUCUAUCUCUUUACCUCAAAACUUAUUUUGGCCUCAUUGACCCCAUAUAAAAGAGUGAAUAUAUUUGUUUACCUACCUCAUAGGGUGUUGUAAAGAAUGUGAGAGCUGGGUAAAGCGCUUGAGUUAGAGAGCACCAUGCCUCUUCUUAAGUAGCAGGAACAUGGAGAACUGUGCACAUCACAGGGCUAAGAAGGGUGGGUGCCUCAGUUGUCUGAGAAGCAGCAGCCAUUCUAGCUAGUACAGGAAAAACUUCUCCCUUAAAGGUCUAGGUAGAAAUUUUAAGCUUUUAAUGAGAAAAGUAACCCCUCGUAUAGUCAUGGAGUAUCUCCAUAUAGAUGGACCACUUUCUUCUUAAUCAAACUGAAUUGUACUACAUGUUUAUAAAUACAUCUAGAAAAUCUGGCCCUUUCUGAUCCCUGAGGAGUUUGCAUGAAUGCCCCCAUUUUCCAGAAUCAUGUACAGUCUCUAAUUCAGUACCGGUGAUGCCAACUGACAUUCUGGAAACCACUCCUGGAUGAUGAUAUUAUUAAGAUUGGAGUUGGAAUGAUUUAACUGGGUUCACAUUUCAUUUCUAACACAACACAGCUGCAACAGAAAAAAUGUGAAGCCUUCUUUCUGCUCAGAACUCUCAAGGAAAUUUGUCUUCACAUUAGAAAUGUAUUUCAAAUAUUUCAGAGAACUGCCUGUACAAUGGCUUCAGCAACAUAUUGAAGUGUGUGGACUUGCAUAAAUGCAAUAUACAGAGUGAGUUCCACAAAAGGUUAAAAAAGGCAGGAAGAUGAUAGGCAAAAGAGCUUCAGUGAAAAUCCUGUACAACUCUGCCUAAGCAAUGUGCGGUCCCUUGCUUAAAUGAUUAAACUUAAGGAGAAGUAAAUGCAAAUAAUAUGAUUUGGAGUUACAAACUUUUGUAAUUUUUGAGUCAUAGGGGCAAUAUGAAGAAUAGGGGUAAUAUUUUAAUGAUGUGCUUCCAUUUAGUACCUAUGAUUAACAAUUGUAUUCAUUUACAAAAUAAUUUUAUAGUCUUAAAAACUGAAAUGGUUUCCAAAUUUUCCCUUGAGAAGUAAAUUUAAAAUCACAUUGUGCUUGAAUUACAUACCAUAUUGACAUCUGAUAUAAUCUCUUCUGGACUCUAAAAUUUAUUUCCCAAUGGACUUAAUCAAAUAUUUAAGUUUUCAAAUUGGUUAAACAUUACUAAUGCAUGGCAUUAGGCUUUCUGAAGCAUGACUAUACCAUAAAAAAUUGUGUAAUACCUUAAAAAUUUCUGCACUGCCAGAAUAGACUGUUACCACAGACUGGUUAUAUAAAUACAAUGCAUGAGUAAAAGGUAAUUUGGAUAUUUCUCAACUUCUAUCCCCUUCUGAUAUCAAUAUUUUUCUACCCAAAAUGCAAAAGUGUACCCUUUUUAUCAUGAAAAUAAACGUCUGUUUUUAUUCAGUUUUAUACAGAAAACUGAAGUUGACUAUUGGGUCAAGUUUCAGAUACAUUUGCUAGAAUUAGCAAGAAGCGCGGGAGAUAACAUGCUAUGGAGAGGUUUUAUCACAAAGUGCAAAAUAGAAUCUAAGCAUGUCAGCGCUGGACAGCUCCUUGAAGUACUGGCUCAGAG